UUUUGGGCGCGGCUUUACCCGCGGCUUAUUUUUGGCACCCCGAGGCCCCUCGCAAAUUCUCGCCCCAUUCCGAGUCCGGCGGACGAACUUCGCCCGCGCUCCCCACCAAGGCUAUAGCCCACCCGUUUUUUGGCCAUUUUUCCGCUGGGGGGUUUUGGCACCACGACCUUCGGGCGCUUAUUUUUGGGCGCGGCAGUGCCCGCGACUUCCCGCGGGCACCCCGAGGCCCCUGGCAAAGUCUUGCCCCAUUCCGAGUGCGGCGGACGAACUUCGCCCGCGCCCCCCACCAAGGCUAUAGCCCACCCGUUUUUUGGCCAUUUUUCCGCUGGGGGGUUUUGGAACCACGACCUUCGGGCGCUUAUUUUUGGGCGCGGCACUGCCCACGGCUUAUUUUUGGUACCCCGAGGCCCCUCGCAAAGUCUCGUCCCAUUCCGAGUCCGGCGGACGAACUUCGUCCGCUCCCCCCACCACGGCUAUAGCCCACCCGUUUUUUGGCCAUUUUUGCGCUGGGGGGUUUUGGCACCACGACCUUCGGGCGCUUAUUUUUGGACGCGGCUGUCCCCGCGACUUCCCGCGGGCAUCCCGAGGCCCCUCGCAAAGUCUCGCCCCAUUCCGAGUCCGGCGGACGUACUUCGCCCGCGCCCCCCACCAAGGCUAUAGCCCACCCGUUUUUUGGCUAUUUUUCCGCUGGGGGGUUUUGGCAGCACGACCUUCGGGCGCUUAUUUUUGGGCGCGGCUUUGCCCGCGGCUUAUUUUUGGUACCCCGAGGCCCCUCGCAAUGGCUCGCCCCAUUCCGAGUCCGGCGGACGAACUUCGCCCGCGCCCCCCACCAAGGCUAUAGCCCACCCGUUUUUUGGCCAUUUUUCCGCUGGGGGGUUUUGGCACCACGACCUUCGGGCGCUUAUUUUUGGACGCGGCUGUGCCCCGCGACUUUCCCGCGGGCACCCCGAGGCCCCUCGCAAAGUCUCGCCCCAUUUCCGAGUCCAGGCGGACGAACUUCGCCCGCGCCCCCCACCAAGGCUAUAUAGCCCANNNNNNNNNNNNNNNNNNNNNNNNNNNNNNNNNNNNNNNNNNNNNNNNNNNNNNNNNNNNNNNNNNNNNNNNNNNNNNNNNNNNNNNNNNNNNNNNNNNNNNNNNNNNNNNNNNNNNNNNNNNNNNNNNNNNNNNNCGGCAGACGAACUUCGCCCUUGCCCCCCACCAAGGCUAUAGCCCACCCGUUUUUUGGCCAUUUUUCCGCUGGGGGGUUUUGGCACCACGACCUUCGGGCGCUUAUUUUUGGGCGCGGCUUUGCCCGCGGCUUAUUUUUGGCACCCCGAGGCCCCUCGCAGAGUAUCGCCCCAUUCCGAGUCCGGCGGACGAACUUCGCCCGCGCCCCCCACCAAGGCUAUAGCUCACCCGUUUUUUGGCCAUUUUUCCGCUGGGGGGUUUUGGCACCACGACCUUCGGGCGCUUAUUUUUGGACGCGGCUGUGCCCGCGACUUCCCGCGGGCACCCCGAGGCCCCUCGCAAAGUCUCGCCCCAUUCCGAGUCCGGCGGACGAACUUCGCCCGCGCCCCCCACCAAGGGUAUAGCCCACCCGUUUUUUGGCCAUUUUUCCGCUGGGGGGUUUUGGCACCACGACCUUCGGGCGCUUAUUUUUGGACGCGGCUGUGCCCGCGACUUCCCGCGGGCACCCCGAGGCCCCUCGCGAAAUCUCGCCCCAUUCCGAGUCCGGCGGACGAACUUCGCCCGCGCCCCCCACCAAGGCUAUAGCCCACCCGUUUUUUGGCCUUUUUUCCGCUGGCGGGUUUUGGCACCACGACCUUCGGGCGCUUAUUUUUGGGCGGGGCUUUGCCCGCGGCUUAUUUUUGGCGCCCCGAGGCCCUGUGCAAAGUCUCGCCCAAUGCCGAGUCCGGCGGACGAACUUCGCCCGCGCCCCCCACCAAGGCUAUAGCCCACCUGUUUUUUGGCCAUUUUUUCGCUGGGGGGUUUUGGCACCACGACCUUCGGGCACUUAUUUCUGGACGCGGCUGUGCCCACGACUUCCCGCGGGCACCCCGAGGCCCCUCACAAUGUCUCGCCCCAUUCCGAGUCCGGCGGACGAACUUCGCCCGCGCCCCCCACCAAGGCUAUAGCCCACCCGUUUUUUGGCCAUUUUUCCGCUGGGGGGUUUUGGCACCACGACCUUCGGGCGCUUAUUUUUUUGGCGCGGCUGUGCCGCGACUUCCCGCGGGCACCCCGAGGGCCCUGGCAAAGUCUCGCCCCAUUCCGAGUCCGGCGGACGAACUUCGCCCGCGCCCCCCACCAAGGCUAUAGCCCACCCGUAUUUUGGCCAUUUUUCCGCUGGGGGGUUUUGGCACCACGACUUCGGGUGCUUAUUUUUGGGCGCGGCUUUGCCCACGGCUUAUUUUUGGUACCCCGAGGCCCCUCGCAUAGGCUCGCCCCAUUCCGAGUCCGGCGGACGAACUUCGCCCGCGCCCCCCACCAAGGCUAUAGCCCACCCGUUUUUUGGCCAUUUUUCCGCUGGGGGGUUUUGGCACCACGACCUUCGGGCGCUUAUUUUUUGGCGCGGCUGUGCCCGCGACUUCCCGCGGGCACCCCGAGGCCCCUGGCAAAGUCUCGCCCCAUUCCGAGUCCGGCGGACGAACUUCGCCCGCGCCCCCCACCAAGGCUAUAGCCCACCCAUAUUUUGGCCAUUUUUCCGCUGGGGGGUUUUGGCACCACGACCUUCGGGUGCUAAUUUUUGGGCGCGGCUUUGCCCACGGCUUAUUUUUGGUACCCCGAGGCCCCUCGCAUAGGCUCGCCCCAUUCCGAGUCCGGCGGACGAACUUCGCCCGCGCCCCCCACCAAGGCUAUAGCCCACCCGUUUUUUGGCCAUUUUUCCGCUGGGGGGUUUUGGCACCACGACCUUCGGGCGCUUAUUUUUGGACGCGGCUGCGCCCGCGACUUCCCACGGGCACCCCGAGGCCCCUCGCAGAGUCUCGCCCCAUUCCGAGUCCGGCGGACGAACUUCGCCCGCGCCCCCCACCAAGGCUAUAUAGCCCACCCGUUUUUUGGCCAUUUUUCCGCUGGGGGGUUUUGGCACCACGACCUUUGGGCGCUUAUUUUUGGGCGCGGCUUUGCCCGCGGCUUAUUUUUGGCGCCCCGAGGCCCCGCGCUAAGUCUCGCCCCAUUCCGAGUCCGGCGGACGAACUUCGCCCGCGACCUUCACCAAGGCUAUAGCCCACCCGUUUUUUGGCCAUUUUUCUGCUGGGGGGUUUUGGCACCACGACCUUCGGGCGCGGCUUUGCCCGCGGGUUAUUUUUGGCACCCCGAGGCACCUCGCAAAGUCUCGCCCCAUUCCGAGUCCGGCGGACGAACUUCGCCCGCGCCCCCCACCAAGGCUAUAGCCCACCUGUUUUUUGGCCAUUUUUCCGCUGGGGGGUUUUGGCACCACGACCUUCGGGCGCUUAUUUUUGGAUGCGGCUGUGCCCGCGACUUCCCGCGGGCACCCCGAGGCCCCUCGCAAAGUCUCGCCCCAUUCCGAGUCCGGCGGACGAACUUCGCCCG
rnacentral:lncRNA from 1 species